UACAACAGCGGAAUUUUGGAUGUUGGGCAUUAUUGUUCUUGGAGAGGUCAUAGUUAUCAAUUAUCAGUUGUGCUUGGAUGAUUAAUAGAGUUCAGAGAAGAAAUUCAGAAAACAGAAUGAUUGCAUGCAGAGUCACUCUGUGCCUCAUGGGACACAGCCCCCAUUGGACAAUGUGAAAGAUGCCUUCGAGAGUUCAAGGAUACUUUUGAUGCUUCCCUUUGAGCUGAAACUGCCAACCAGACUAGGUUGUGAACAGAUGACCAUGCUAAAUGAGCAACAAAUCAUGCAGACCACAGAUGCAGUUUUCUCUGGUAUAUGAGAGCAGACUCCUCUUCAAAAUAGAUUUCCUCCUGUAUCAUUUCCCCUCUUCACUUCCAGGGAAACCUCCUUUAUAAUGAAGACCUUUUUUGAAAGAAAAAAAGAGGAAGAAAAGAAAAAAAAAUCCAGCCACUAAUCAACAUAUCCAAAAAAUCUUACGUUAUAUACAAUGUUUCACACUUCUACAAAGGAUCAGGGGAAAGUAUCUUCUCAUAUCUCUGCUUUCAAGCCAAGCUUAUUUUUCAUAAUUUUGUAAUAUUCAUUGUCAGUUGUUUUGUGAUGGUUAUUAUUUCAAUUUACAUGGUUGUAGACAUCAUGUAGAAUGAGAACUAUUAUUAAAUGAACAUGUUUACAGAGCACAGAGUUCUCAUCCUAAGGUAAUAGUGGCCACAGACGGGCUUUAAGGCGUAGCUCGUAAGGCUCAUUGGGCACUGUUGGGGUUCAGGAUGCUAUGACAUAGGCCAUAAGUAGCCAACUUGAAUUACUUACCUUUUCCAUUCACUUGAAACCCAGAGUGGGCCCUUUGGAGUGAGACGUUUAAAGGCACCAACCUGCAUGUUGGACUUGGAGCUUUCAGAUUCUUACAGAACUUUCUUUGGAGUUGCAUUUGUCUGCCGCAUACUGGGUGGGAGUCAUUGAGCUAGUCUUUGUGGAAGACUGAGGAAAGCUAUAUUCUCUUGUAUUUCUGCUUGCUAAAACAAUUGUUUCAAUGAACCCUUAAGUUCUAAGUCAGACUUGGUAUUAUAUUUAUAUAAAAGAACUCUCUCCCAGGAGAGGCACUCUCAACCCUUACCUCAACCUUAUCUGAAGAAUUUCUGCUUAAGAAAGCACUUUCCCAUUGGCCAACAUACUUCUCUCCCAUUUCCCCCCUGGACUGGCCUUGCAGUCACAUCUUUCUUGGAGACCUCUAUGACUCUGGGCCUCUGGAAAUCCAUCCUUUACUCAUAAACUGUUUCUUUCUGUCUGGAUCCAUUUGCCUAAAAUAUGUUCAUUAGGCAGUUGGUAAGCAAAACUGGUAAACAGCACAAUCUUUUCCUGUAGUUUGGCUCUCUGGACCAUGUCCUCUUAGCAGUCAUGGUGUGUCAAUAGCCAUUGCCAUCACGCUUGGAGCCCGCCUAUGUCAUAACAAUUCCAUCAAUAACCAAGAUUUGUCUACAUUUUCUUUUCAAAAUGUAAGCUUCCAGUAAGCUCCCAUUUCUGGCCCGAGGGAUGUCUCUAAGUCCUCUUUUGCUGAGCUGAAAUAACCCCUUUACAGGAAUCUCCUGACUAUGAGCUCUGUCCACUGGUCCAAUUUCUCUUUGAUGGGUUGGGAGGAGGAAGAUGAGGGGAAGAUUAAUAUUCCUGUAUCCUGUCACCAUCAGUAUGCCAUAGAGGAAUACUUUUUACACAUAGCCACAAAAAAGACAUUGUCCCCCAAUAAGUUUACUAUUUUUUUUGCAACUGCUUACUAAUAAACCUUCAUCUCCACAGAUAAACCAUUUGUGUGAAUG